ensembl:rRNA 5S_rRNA 5S ribosomal RNA
UACGGCCAUACCACCCUGAAUGCUUCCGAUCUCGUCUGAUCUCAGGCGGUAAGCAGGGUCCGGCCUGCUUAGUACUCAAAUGGGAGACAAUAGAUAUCUUCCAGGAGUUUUAUAAU